ACUAUCUGACCAUUUGCUUUUGCAUUAUCUAUUCAGGAGGUGAAGCACCAUCUCUGUGCCAGGCUGGUGAAGAAAGUGCCACUGUUCCAGCACUGUGAUCUGAACUUCUUGAAUGCAAGCUCUUCCUGUUUAAGGAGUGUGCUGGGAGUAUGACUGUCACAGCUCUCACCAUGUGCCGUUUGUUCUCACUGUCUGGUGAUGAAUUGAAGGAGUUGCUGGAGGCAUAUCCAGAGAUAGGAGAGGAGAUUACAAAGUGCACCAUCCAUAACUGUGAAAGCCUGAUUGUCUAUUAUGUAGCUGUCAGAAAGAAACAAUAAUGAAGCAAAAAUUCAAAGUGACGCAGAGCAGUGGAGGGUAGAACACAAC